GCCAGUGUGGUUUAAUGGCUUGAGUGCUGGACUAUGAAUCUGGAGACCAGGAUUCAAUCCCCACUGCCA